GACGAAGGAUGCAAGCGUUAUCCGGAUUCAUUGGGUUUAAAGGGUGCGUAGGCGGACUGAUAAGUCAGUGGUGAAAUCUCUUUGCUUAACAAAGAAACUGCCAUUGAUACUGUCGGUCUAGAGUAUAGAUGACGUUGGCGGAAUAUGACAUGUAGUGGUGAAAUACUUAGAUAUGUCAUAGAACACCGACUGCGAAGGCAGCUAACGAAACUAUAACUGACGCUGAGGCACGAAAGUGCGGGGAUCAAACAGG
rnacentral:rRNA from 1 species